rnacentral:rRNA from 1 species
CCCUUAGAUGUUCUGGGCUGCACGCGCGCUACACUGAUGCGCUCAACGAGUUUACGACCUUGCCCGGAAGGGUUGGGUAAUCUUUUUAAAACGCAUCGUGAUGGGGAUAGAUUAUUGCAAUUAUUAAUCUUUAACGAGGAAUUCCUAGUAAGCGCGAGUCAUCAGCUUGUGUUGAUUACGUCCCUGCCCUUUGUACACACCGCCCGUCGCUCCUACCGAUUGAAUGUUCCGGUGAGCUCUUCGGACUGCGCGGUCUGCAGUUUCUGCGUUCCGUGCGGAAAGUUGCGCAAACCUUAACAUUUAGAGGAAGGAGAAGUCGUAACA